UUUAUACCACAGGCUGGACAGUCCAUGUCCUUACAACAGGCUGGACAGUCCAUGUCCUUACAACAGCAUGUAGAAUGGAUAUUAUCCCCAUACGUCUUAUUACCUGUUCUGUCUGGAUGUAACAGGCUGCCUAGUAAAUUACAUGUCUUUGGCCCCAUUACACUAAAACCUUUAAGCACAAUGUUGUCCUCAACCAUGUAAUUUACAAGAACAAAAUAUUCAAACCGUUCUGAAUAUGAGCUCCACUGCUCAAUGGUUCCAUCAAACUGUCCAAUGUUUCCAUCAAACUGUCCAAUGGUUCCAUCAAACUGUCCAAUGUUUCCAACAAUUAGAGACAUUUAUCAUUUCUCAAUAGGCUCCUGUGUCACGUUCUGACAUUAGUUAUUUUAUUAUGUCUUUGGUUUAGUAUGGUCAGGGCGUGAGUUGGGUGGGUAGUCUAUGUUCUUUUUUUCUAUGUUGUAUUUCUGUGUUUGGCCUGGUAUGGUUCUCAAUCAGAGGCAGCUGUCAAUCGUUGUCCCUGAUUGAGAAUCAUACUGAGGUAGCCUGGUUUCACUGUUGAGUGGUGGGUGGUUGUUUUCAGUCUUUGUGUGUCUGCACCAGACAGAACUGUUCCGGUUGUUUCUUUGUUGUUUGUUAUUCAUUUUUUCCAUUAAUGAAGAUGAACACUUCCCACGCUGCGCUUUGGUCCUCACCUUCUUACACCGACGACGGCCGUUACAUCCUGAUUGUCAUUCACUUUAGCAUUGUCCUCCACCACAGCAAUAUUUUCCUCAGUCAUGUAAACUUCAUUAAUUUCACUCAUUUAGCAGUUUUUAAUUCCAAAGUUUGUCUUCACAGUUGAAUAAACAUCCUUUCCUUUAAUCAAGAUGUAUUCCUCCCUUUCUAAUCAAGUUGUUUUUCCGCUCCGACAUCCGUCUCGGGUCCUUUUCUGCCCUUCAUGACGAUGAUAACUCUCUCUGUUAGCUCCACUUCCCUCCAUGAUGAUGUUAACUCUCUCUGUUAGCUCCACUUCCCUCCAUGAUGAUGUUAACUCUCUCUGUUAGCUCCACUUCCCUCCAUGAUGAUGUUAACUCUCUCUGUUAGCUCCACUUCCCUUCAUGAUGAUGUUAACUCUCUCUGUUAGCUCCACUUCCCUCCAUGAUGAUGUUAACUCUCUCUGUUAGCUCCACUUCCCUCCAUGAUGAUGAUAACUCUCUCUGUUAGCUCCACUUCCCUCCAUGAUGAUGUUAACUCUCUCUGUUAGCUCCACUUCCCUCCAUGAUGAUGUUAACUCUCUGUUAGCUCCACUUCCCUCCAUGAUGAUGAUAACUCUCUCUGUUAGCUCCACUUCCCUCCAUGAUGAUGUUAACUCUCUCUGUUAGCUCCACUUCCCUUCAUGAUGAUGAUAACUCUCUCUGUUAGCUCCACUUCCCUUCAUGAUGAUGAUAACUCUCUCUGUUAGCUCCACUUCCCUUCAUGAUGAUGAUAACUCUCUCUGUUAGCUCCACUUCCCUCCAUGAUGAUGAUAACUCUCUCUGUUAGCUCCACUUCCCUUCAUGAUGAUGAUAACUCUCUCUGUUAGCUCCACUUCCCUCCAUGAUGAUGAUAACUCUCUCUGUUAGCUCCACUUCCCUCCAUGAUGAUGUUAACUCUCUCUGUUAGCUCCACUUCCCUUCAUGAUGAUGUUA
ensembl:lncRNA